GACGAACGCUGGCGGCGCGCUUAACACAUGCAAGUCGAACGGAAAGGCCUGCUUUCCCUUGUGGAUUGCGGGUACUCGAGUGGCGAACGGGUGAGUAACACGUGAGUGAUCUGCCCCCAACUUGGGUAUAAGCCUGGGAAACUGGGUCUAAUUCCCGAUAGGACUGCAGGGUGGUGCCUGUGGUGGAAAACGAUUUUCUAGUGGUUGGGGAUGAGCUCGCGGCCUAUCAGCUUGUUGGUGGGGUAAUGGCCUACCAAGGCGGCGACGGGUAGCCGGCCUGGGAGGGUGGACGGGCACAUUGGGACUGAGAUACGGCCCAGACUCCUACGGGAGGCAGCAGUGGGGAAUAUUGCACAAUGGGCGGAAGCCUGAUGCAGCGACGCCGCGUGGGGGAUGACGGCCUGCGGGUUGUAAACUCCUUUCGACCGCGAGGAAGCCACCUGGUUGGAAGGGUGGUGACGGUAGUGGUAGAAGAAGCACCGGCUAACUACGU
rnacentral:rRNA from 1 species